rnacentral:rRNA from 1 species
UACGGAGGGGGCGAGCGUUAUUCGGAAUUAUUGGGCGUAAAGGGCGCGUAGGCGGCCCGGUAAGUCAAAGGUGAAAUCCCUCGGCUCAACUGAGGAACUGCCUUUGAAACUGUCGGGCUUGAGGCCGGGAGGGGGUAGCGGAAUUCCCAGUGUAGCGGUGAAAUGCGUAGAUAUUGGGAGGAACACCGGUGGCGAAGGCGGCUACCUGGACCGGUUCUGACGCUGAUGCGCGAAAGCGUGGGUAG